rnacentral:rRNA from 1 species
AUACGGAAGGUCCGGGCGUUAUCCGGAUUUACUGGGUUUAAAGGGAGCGCAGGCGGGUUAUUAAGCGGGACGUGAAAUGUAGCCGCUCAACGGCUGAACUGCGUCGCGAACUGGUAGUCCUGAGUGAGUAAGGAGCGGACGGAAUUUGUGGGGUAGCGGUGAAAUGCUUAGAUAUCACGAAGAACUCCGAUUGCGAAGGCAGUCCGCGAGUCCUUUACUGACGCUAAAGCUCGAAGGUGCGGGUAUCGAACAGGAUUAGAUACCCUGGUAGUCCGCACGGUAAACGAUGGAUGCCCGCUGUUGGCGAUACACAGUCAGCGGCCAAGCGAAAGCGUUAAGCAUCCCACCUGGGGAGUACGCCGGCAACGGUGAAACUCAAAGGAAUUGACGGGG